AACGAACGCUGGCGGCAGGCUUAACACAUGCAAGUCGAGCGCCCCGCAAGGGGAGCGGCAGACGGGUGAGUAGCGCGUGGGAAUCUACCCAUCCCUACGGAACAACAGUUGGAAACGACUGCUAAUACCGUAUACGCCCUUUGGGGGAAAGAUUUAUCGGGGAUGGAUGAGCCCGCGUUGGAUUAGCUAGUUGGUGGGGUAAUGGCCUACCAAGGCGACGAUCCAUAGCUGGUCUGAGAGGAUGAUCAGCCACAUUGGGACUGAGACACGGCCCAAACUCCUACGGGAGGCAGCAGUGGGGAAUAUUGGACAAUGGGCGGAAGCCUGAUCCAGCCAUGCCGCGUGAGUGAUGAAGGCCUUAGGGUUGUAAAGCUCUUUCACCUGGGAAGAUAAUGACGGUACCAGGAGAAGAAGCCCCGGCUAACUUCGUGCCAGCAGCCGCCGCCGUAA
rnacentral:rRNA from 1 species